UACGUAGGAGGCGAGCGUUGUCCGGAUUUACUGGGCGUAAAGCGCGCGCAGGCGGCCCACUAAGUCCGAUGUGAAAUCUCCCUGCUCAACGGGGAGGGUGCAUAGUAAACUGGUGAGCUAGAGGACGGUAGAGGGGGGUGGAAUUGCUGGUGUAGCGGUGAAAUGCGUAGAGAUCAGCAGGAACACCCGUGGCGAAGGCGGCCCCCUGGGCCGAACCUGACGCUGAGGCGCGAAGGCUAGGGGAGCGAACGGG
rnacentral:rRNA from 1 species